rnacentral:lncRNA from 1 species
GGGAGCAAGGACACUACCUUUCCAGGGAGCCAAGGGUCAGUGACUCUUCUGCAGACAGGGCAAAUAUCCUUAGUCACAGGGAACCGUCACCCACCACCCCCAGAUGUGCACACACAAACCAGUCGGAGGUGAGAGUUGGUCUUUUCAGGACACAAUUCAACUCCCGAAUGGAGAGUGGAUGUGCCCCCGGAUAUCAGAAUUCCCAUGAAACCGAGCCUGUCUCUGUACUUUGGAGCACUUCAGGGACUCCAGGUUACCCUGAGGCUGCCUGGAACUGUCUUGCAGCUCUCCAGCCCAGAGUCUCCUGACAAAGCAUUCCAGGCUGAGCUAGAUAGGAUUGACUUCUCAGUUUGAGCAACUGGAAGCCGAUGCCAUUCCCGGCUUGACCGACACUUGCCAGAAGGAAAGCCUUCUGGGUCCCGGGAGGAAAAUGGUUGAAGCACCUUUUUGGGAGAGGAGGGCCUGCUGGCUCCGGAAAAGGAGCUAAUUCACCUGGCCUGUGGGCACUUGAACUUAGGAAGGAGGAGGCUUUUUGCUCGGAAGCCCUUGAUUGCUUCCCUUCUCACUCAGAGUCCUGUAUUCAGCGGGACUGAAGGAGAGGGAGGCAGGGAAGAUCUACAACAUUCCAGAAACCAGCAUUAGGACAGCCUAGCCAGUGUCUUUAGUUUGGCUUUUCCUAACUAGAAGGCAGGAGGCAGGAGGCAGGUGGAGAUUGUUUGUAAAAUGAAACAGCAGUUUUCCAACGAUAUCAACAAAGCCUACAGUGUCGAUGCUUCUCUUGAUCAUUUUUAGUAACAUGCUAAUGAAAUUUCAAAUUGAAAUUUUUAUUUUCAUGGCUUUAAUCCAUGAUAGCUUAAAUACUGGGGGCCAUUAGGAGUGGAAUUUAGCUAAGACCUUAGCUGACAUUGCUUUCACUCUGGUUUUUCUCAACUCUUAUGAGAAUUCUGUUUGGGGAUAUUAUAAUUAUUCCUUUUUUUUUUUUUUUUCCUGGCUUUACAAAGUAGGCCUGCAAUGGUGGAGCUGUUUAUUAGUGUGUAUAUUGUACUGAAUUUUUUCAGUUCAAGGGUCUGCUGCUUUGGUGAAAAUUGCUAGCAAGUUCCAUGAGGGUUCUUUUCUUCAUUCUGUUUACCAUCAUCAUCUCAUCUUUGCAUUCCCCCCUCUCCUCACCUCUUGAUCCCCCUUGAAAGGAAUUUAGAGUUCAUGGGCUUUGGGGCCCGCUUUUGUAGCUUGUCCUGAUGUUUAUUUCUGAGAACAGGGAAGCGCUCUUAGAAGCAGGACAGAAUGUGUGUCUUUCUAAACAUGAAGGUUAUGUGACGCUCCUUUCUUUGGGCAAGAGUUUGUGGAUUUUUCUCCAAGGGGUACAACCCCAGCCUAACUGAUCGUUACUUGAUUCUUUGUGUUACACACACCUUGGAAGGUGCACAGUCUCUCAUGAGGGAGUUUGUCAAAUAAUGAUGUUUAGCUCAUGGUUGCAAGCAAUUGGAUACUAUGGUUUCAUUGAACAGCAAACACUAUGUCCAAAGCCACUUUCUUGGCAUUUCAAAACUAAUGCAAUAAAAACUAGUAGAAGUUAGCAGGCAGGGAAAUGCCAUUUCCAUGGUAAAUGGUUUGUUUCUGUUUUCUGGGGAUUUUUGUUGUUUUAUUUUGUUUCAUUUUGUUCUCAUGCUGGAUUCAUUCUCUGAUCUUGAGUCAAAAGGUCAAAUCAAUGAAAUAUGAACUAAAGUAUUUUUCUGAAGCCAAUCGAGUGAUUUAUUUUUUAAAACUGCUUAUGUUUUUUCUUUCAGCACAUACAACAGCAAAACUUUUGUAAACUUAACCUUUGCAUGUAUGGAGAACUGAAAGUCAUUUAUUUCUCUAACUUAGUCUUUUGGCAAAUGACAGAUUGAUGACC